rnacentral:rRNA from 1 species
AAUACUUAGGAAUCUACCUAUUAAUGGGGGACAACAUUUCGAAAGGAAUGCUAAUACCGCAUACGCCCUACGGGGGAAAGCAGGGGCUCUUCGGACCUUGCGUUAAUAGAUGAGCCUAAGUCGGAUUAGCUAGUUGGUGGGGUAAAGGCCUACCAAGGCGACGAUCUGUAGCGGGUCUGAGAGGAUGAUCCGCCACACUGGGACUGAGACACGGCCCAGACUCCUACGGGAGGCAGCAGUGGGGAAUAUUGGACAAUGGGGGGAACCCUGAUCCAGCCAUGCCGCGUGUGUGAAGAAGGCCUUUUGGUUGUAAAGCACUUUAAGCGAGGAGGAGGCUACUCUAGUUAAUACCUAGAGCUAGUGGACGUUACUCGCAGAAUAAGCACCGGCUAACUCUGUGCCAGCAGCCGCGGUAAUACAGAGGGUGCGAGCGUUAAUCGGAUUUACUGGGCGUAAAGCGUGCGUAGGUGGCCUUUUAAGUCAAAUGUGAAAUCCCCGAGCUUAACUUGGGAAUUGCAUUCGAUACUGGAAGGCUAGAGUAUGGGAGAGGAUGGUAGAAUUCCAGGUGUAGCGGUGAAAUGCGUAGAGAUCUGGAGG